UACGAAGGGGGCUAGCGUUGCUCGGAAUCACUGGGCGUAAAGGGUGCGUAGGCGGCUCUUUAAGUCGGAGGUGAAAUCCUGGAGCUCAACUCCAGAACUGCCUUCGAUACUGAAGAGCUCGAGUCCGGGAGAGGUGAGUGGAACUGCGAGUGUAGAGGUGAAAUUCGUAGAUAUUCGCAAGAACACCAGUGGCGAAGGCGGCUCACUGGCCCGGUACUGACGCUGAGGUGCGAAAGCGUGGGGAGCAAACAGG
rnacentral:rRNA from 1 species